CUUGGUGACGGAGUCGUUGACGUUGAUGGCGGGGAAGAGGAGAGCGCCGGACUCCUGCAUCUGGUAGAGCCUCUUGACACCGGUGGUGGUCUCCUCAGACAUACCGACGAGCCUCUACUUCAUCUUGCGGUACCUCCUGACGUCGGUCUUGAGGCCGUCGCGGAUGAUGGUGAGGACGAUCUUGAACUCGGGGUUGUCGGUGGAGUCGGGGUCAAGGACCUUGCCGGACUUCUCGAACUCCUCCUCGGCCUUGACGCCCUCGUGGAUGAGCAGGGUGGCGUCGCCGCCGUCGUCGACGAUGAGGUCGGGGCCGCCGCCGGCGCCCCAGUCGAGGCAGCGCUCGGUGCACCACCAGUACUCCUCGAGCGUCUCGCCCUUCCAGGCGAAGACGGCGGCGGAGUCGCGCGCGAUGGCGGCGGCGGCGUGGUCCUGCGU